rnacentral:rRNA from 1 species
CAGUCGCCGCGGUAAUACGUAGGUGGCAAGCGUUAUCCGGAAUUAUUGGGCGUAAAGCGCGCGUAGGCGGUUUUUUAAGUCUGAUGUGAAAGCCCACGGCUCAACCGUGGAGGGUCAUUGGAAACUGGAAAACUUGAGUGCAGAAGAGGAAAGUGGAAUUCCAUGUGUAGCGGUGAAAUGCGCAGAGAUAUGGAGGAACACCAGUGGCGAAGGCGACUUUCUGGUCUGUAACUGACGCUGAUGUGCGAAAGCGUGGGGAUCAAACAGGAUUAGAUACCCCAGUAGUCCCUGUCUCUUAUAA